rnacentral:rRNA from 1 species
CGGGAAUAUUGGGCAAUGGGCGAAAGCCUGACCCAGCGACGCCGCGUGAGGGAAGAAGGCCUUCGGGUCGUAAACCUCUGUCAUCGGGGACGAAGGAAGUGACGGUACCCGAGGAGGAAGCCCCUGCUAACUACGUGCCAGCAGCCGCGGUAAUACGUAGGGGGCGAGCGUUGUCCGGAGUUAUUGGGCGUAAAGGGCGUGUAGGCGGCCUGUUAAGUCAGGUGUGAAAUUUCAGGGCUCAACCCUGAAACUGCGUUUGAAACUGGCAGGCUUGAGGACAGGAGAGGGAAGUGGAAUUCCCGGUGUAGCGGUGGAAUGCGUAGAUAUCGGGAGGAACACCAGUGGCGAAGGCGGCUUCCUGGACUGUACCUGACGCUGAGGCGCGAAAGCUAGGGGAGCAAAC